rnacentral:misc_RNA from 1 species
AGAAUCAUAAUUUUCUAAGCUACUACGAAUAUUUUAUGAAUUUUUAAUUUAAACUCGAAACUAAAUAAUUAAGAAAAUUUAGGGUUCGGGCUUACCUAUGCCAAUUCGGAUAUUAGAAACAUAUCCGGGAUGUCUAAAAACGGUGAAGUAGCCUAUAAUCUUGACUCGGUUCUGAAGUAAUUCCGGUAGCUUAUCUGCUUGACUCGAAAUUAUAGAUCCGAGUUACGGUCGAAUAUCCAUGAAACGAAAGUAUCUACGCAAAGCCCACAACACCAGGGGCUAGACUAAAAUAUUUAUAUUUA